rnacentral:precursor_RNA from 12 species
AAGAAGGAAAACUGACAGGGCAGGUUUUUUUCUCAGCUACAUCGGUGUAAAUCCAGAGCAACUCCACUGAGAUUCACACCAGAGUAACUGAGAGCAGAAUCUGGCCAACAUCAUCCACCUGACCU